UACGUAGGGUGCGAGCGUUAAUCGGAAUUACUGGGCGUAAAGCGUGCGCAGGCGGUUUUGUAAGCCAGAUGUGAAAGCCCCGGGCUUAACCUGGGAAUGGCAUUUGGGACUGCAAGGCUAGAGUGUGGCAGAGGAGACUGGAAUUCCUGGUGUAGCAGCGAAAUGCGUAGAUAUCAGGAGGAAUACCGAUGGCGAAGGCAGGUCUCUGGGUUAACACUGACGCUCAUGCACGAAAGCGUGGGGAGCAAACAGG
rnacentral:rRNA from 1 species